UACGUCAGCGGCAGACGGGUGAGUAACGCGUGGGAACGUACCUUUUGGUUCGGAACAACACAGGGAAACUUGUGCUAAUACCGGAUAAGCCCUUACGGGGAAAGAUUUAUCGCCGAAAGAUCGGCCCGCGUCUGAUUAGCUAGUUGGUGAGGUAACGGCUCACCAAGGCGACGAUCAGUAGCUGGUCUGAGAGGAUGAUCAGCCACAUUGGGACUGAGAGACGGCCCAG
rnacentral:rRNA from 1 species